GACGAACGCUGGCGGCGUGCUUAACACAUGCAAGUCGAACGGAAAGGCCCUGCUUUUGUGGGGUGCUCGAGUGGCGAACGGGUGAGUAACACGUGAGUAACCUGCCCUUGACUUUGGGAUAACUUCAGGAAACUGGGGCUAAUACCGGAUAGGAGCUCCUGCUGCAUGGUGGGGGUUGGAAAGUUUCGGCGGUUGGGGAUGGACUCGCGGCUUAUCAGCUUGUUGGUGGGGUAGUGGCUUACCAAGGCUUUGACGGGUAGCCGGCCUGAGAGGGUGAGCGGCCACAUUGGGACUGAGAUACGGCCCAGACUCCUACGGGAGGCAGCAGUGGGGAAUAUUGCACAAUGGGCGGAAGCCUGAUGCAGCAACGCCGCGUGCGGGAUGACGGCCUUCGAGUUGUAAACCGCUUUCGCCUGUGACGAAGCGUGAGUGACGGUAAUGGGUAAAGAAGCACCGGCUAACUACGUG
rnacentral:rRNA from 1 species